rnacentral:rRNA from 1 species
UACAGAGGUGGCAAGCGUUGUUCGGAAUUACUGGGCGUAAAGGGCGCGUAGGCGGCCUUCUAAGUCAGACGUGAAAUCCCCCGGCUUAACCUGGGAACUGCGUCUGAUACUGGGAGGCUAGAGUAUGGGAGAGGGAUGUAGAAUUCCAGGUGUAGCGGUGAAAUGCGUAGAUAUCGGAAGGAACGCCGGUGGCGAAAGCGGCGCACUGGAUCCCUACUGACGCUGAGGCGCGAAAGCCAGGGGAGCAAACGGG